UGAAUUCUUUUUGCCUCGGCAUGUCGGUGCAUACCGAAUACCGAACCGAAUUCAUCGGUUAACCGAAAUAUCGGUUAUCUGUUUUGUUAUGCCAUUUUCGGUUUUUAGUUUUUUAAACCGAAUUUUGAAAUAAACUGAUUGAGAAAAACCGAAUUUUCGGUUUUUACCGAAUGCCCGGGCCUAAUAUGUCAUGCUGAAUUGAGGGCCCAUUUUGUAAAAAAACUCCACCUCCGAAGGAGAAGCUAGAUUCGGUGAAAGUGGAGCACACCAUCAAUCAACUGCAGCGACCACCAGGGAUUCCAACUAUGACCGCAUUCUGAAAAAUACAUAUGCAUAAGCGGUGCGGUCGGGAACUACUUCUAGCGAUGCAAGGUUAGCAGAACGAAGAAGUGAGAAAACAAUUCCGGGGCUCGAUAUCGUUGUUGCUAACCAUCCAGAGAUGGUGCCCGGUACCAAUCCUGGUGAUUACUUGGGGGAUGAUGUAACAAAAUAACAAUAUAAAUACGUGCACGGGAAGCCUCUCGUCAAACAUGGUCAUCCUCCUCUAACAAUGAUGAUGCACAGAUUGCAUGAGUUGUACAUGAAAACCUGAAGGGAG
rnacentral:lncRNA from 1 species